GAUGUAAGAAGCUCUAUUUGGAUACAUAAAGUAGUGGAUAAUCACCAGAAAGUUGAAUAAAUCUCAUAGGAGUUAAGAUGAAGAUGUUAUCCCACUUUCAAAUCAAGUUAUCCUAGUUUUCAUGUUUGGGAAUAUGACAACUUCUUCGUCAUUCUAAUCAAACCAAGAUUAAUCGCGAUGUAAGAAGCUUGAUUUUGAUACAUAAAAUAGUGGAGAAUCACCAUGAAUUUUAAUAAAUCUCAUAGGAAUUAGGAUGAAGAAGUUAUCGGACUUUCAUAUCAUGUGAUCCAAGUUUUUCUGUUUGGGAACAUGACAAAUUUUUCGUCAUUCUAAUCAAACCAAGUUAAAUCGCGAUGUAAGAAGAUUGAUUUAGAUACAUAAAUAGAGGAGAAUCAUCAGGAAGUUGAAUAAAUCUCAUAGGUGUUAGGAUGAAGAAGUUAUUCCAUUUUUAAAUCAGGUAAUCCCGGUUUUGCUAUUUGGAAAAAAAAAACUUCUUCGUCAUUCUAAUCAAACAAGGAUGAAUCGCGGCGUAAAAAGUUUGAUUUAGAUACAUAAAUGUGGGAACCGAAAUUUGCACUGUCGAUUUCCGGCUAAAUUAGGAAACUAGGAAAACCCUAAUUUCCCAGAGGUCCCGGAAAUCUGUUAUUACCACACGCUAAGCAAUCAGAACACGAGAUAUCAACGACAAAGUAUAAAAAUCAUAAAAAGAGAGCAAAAUAAAUCUUAUUCUGAAUCUGUGUUUGAGCGUUACAACAAGGUAUAUGCCUGAGCGUGAGAGCUGUCGGCGAGAUUCCUAGUUCUAGCAACCCUAAGAUGGCUAAACCUAAUUAAGUCGCAGCUCGAAAUAACAAAAACGGAAAUAUGCCUAAAUCCCUCUAAGUGCUAAAUUUGCUCUGAAAAAAAGUCUCUCUCAUGCCUCUCGCCUAGGACUCCUUAUAUACUCGCUCCUAGGUCGGUUUAUGCUUUUUCUCUUCUUCCCUUAGGCCGUCAUAGCAUAAAAAUGGAGAUAUUCCAGUUUUUUUCAUCUUCGUAAUUAUCUUCAAAAUUUCGUAUUUAUCCGCGGAAACUUGACAUUUAUCUUUCCUUGCGAACCAAGCGUAAACCGUCAUGCGGCUUACGGGCUGUUGGUUAAGAAACCGCAAGUUGGGCCUCGAGUCAUGUCAUGGGUCCCUUUGGGCUGUCUUUUGACUCGAAGCGUUUAUUACAGCUUCUUUCGAUAAAGAACGAACUUUCCGCGGUUUUUACCGGAAAGUUUGAUUGAUUCCUUAGAAUGGCG